rnacentral:rRNA from 1 species
ACUGGACGAAAGUCUGACGGAGCAACGCCGCGUGAGCGAUGAAGGCCUUCGGRUCGUAAAGCUCUGUUGUUAGGGAAGAACAAGURCCAGAGUAACUGCUGGUACCUUGACGGUACCUAACCAGAAAGCCACGGCUAACUACGUGCCAGCAGCCGCGGUAAUACGUAGGUGGCAAGCGUUGUCCGGAAUUAUUGGGCGUAAAGCGCGCGCAGGCGGUUCCUUAAGUCUGAUGUGAAAGCCCACGGCUCAACCGUGGAGGGUCAUUGGAAACUGGGGGACUUGAGUGCAGAAAANGAAAGUGGAAUUCCACGUGUAGCGGUGAAAUGCGUAAAGAUUUGGAGGAACACCAGUGGC